ensembl:misc_RNA
UAUCGGAGAACAAUUUAUCUCUCUUUGCUUACUUUACCUCCACCGAUGAGGUUGGGAGGUUGCGGAAGC